rnacentral:lncRNA from 1 species
GACAUACAGAACGACAUACAGAAGGACAUACAGAAGGACAUACAGAAGGACAUACAGAAGGACAUACAGAACGACAUACAGAACGACAUACAGAACGACAUACAGAACGACAUACAGAAGGACAUGCAGGACGUACAGAACGACAUACAGAACGACAUACAGAACGACAUACAGAAGGACAUACAGAACGACAUACAGAACGACAUACAGAACGACAUACAGAACGACAUACAGAACGACAUACAGAAGGACAUGCAGGACGUACAGAACGACAUAUAGAAGGAUAUACAGAAGGACAUACAGAAGGACAUACAGAAGGACAUACAGAACGACAUACAGAACGACAUACAGAACGACAUACAGAACGACAUACAGAACGACAUACAGAACGACAUACAGAAGGACAUGCAGGACGUACAGAACGACAUACAGAACGACAUACAGAACGACAUGCAGGACGUACAGAACGACAUACAGAACGACAUACAGAACGACAUACAGAAUUACAUACAGAAGGACAUACAGUACGACAUACAGAACGACAUGCAGAAGGACAUACAGAAGGACAUACAGAAGGACUCCAACAAUCCGGAGGAACGGCAUCCCGC